UGGGGAAUAUUGCACAAUGGGCGCAAGCCUGAUGCAGCCAUGCCGCGUGUGUGAAGAAGGCCUUCGGGUUGUAAAGCACUUUCAGCGGGGAGGAAGGCGAUAAGGUUAAUAACCUUGUCGAUUGACGUUACCCGCAGAAGAAGCACCGGCUAACUCCGUGCCAGCAGCCGCGGUAAUACGGAGGGUGCAAGCGUUAAUCGGAAUUACUGGGCGUAAAGCGCACGCAGGCGGUCUGUCAAGUCGGAUGUGAAAUCCCCGGGCUCAACCUGGGAACUGCAUUCGAAACUGGCGGGCUAGAGUCUUGUAGAGGGGGGUAGAAUUCCAGGUGUAGCGGUGAAAUGCGUAGAGAUCUGGAGGAAUACCGGUGGCGAAGGCGGCCCCCUGGACAAAGACUGACGCUCAGGUGCGAAAGCGUGGGGAGCAAACAGG
rnacentral:rRNA from 1 species